rnacentral:rRNA from 1 species
GCGAAAUACGAUACGGGACUCAUCCGAGGCCCCGUAAUCGGAAUGAGUACACUCUAAAUCCUUUAACGAGGAUCAAUUGGAGGGCAAGUCUGGUGCCAGCAGCCGCGGUAAUUCCAGCUCCAAUAGCGUAUAUUAAAGUUGUUGCGGUUAAAAAGCUCGUAGUCGAACUUGUGUCCCGCGCCGCCGGUUCAUCGCUCGCGGUGUCAACUGGCGUGUCCGCGGGACGUCCUGCCGGUGGGCUUAGCUCCUCGCGGGGCGGCCCAAUCUCAAUCCCACCGCGGUGCUCUUCGCUGAGUGUCGAGGCGGGCCGGCACGUUUACUUUGAACAAAUUAGAGUGCUUAAAGCAGGCUAAAACCUCGCCUGAAUACUGUGUGCAUGGAAUAAUGGAAUAGGACCUCGGUUCUAUUUUGUUGGUUUUCGGAACCCCGAGGUAAUGAUUAAUAGGAACGGAUGGGGGCAUUCGUAUUGCGACGUUAGAGGUGAAAUUCUUGGAUCGUCGCAAGACGGACAGAAGCGAAAGCAUUUGCCAAAAACGUUUUCAUUGAUCAAGAACGAAAGUUAGAGGUUCGAAGGCGAUCAGAUACCGCCCUAGUUCUAACCAUAAACGAUGCCAGCUAGCGAUCCGCCGACGUUCCUCCGAUGACUCGGCGGGCAGCUUCCGGGAAACCAAAGCUUUUGGGUUCCGGGGGAAGUAUGGUUGCAAAGCUGAAACUUAAAGGAAUUGACGGAAGGGCACCACCAGGAGUGGAGCCUGCGGCUUAA